rnacentral:lncRNA from 1 species
AUGCAGCGCAGUAAAGCCGCUGUGAGCGUGGAAGUGAAGCAAGUCAUUGGAGCUUUGUGCAGACUACUAGCGGCUACUGGCCUGGAAGCUGUCCCCACACCGGAGAUAUUCAGGCUGGCCAAAUUCGGUGGUGGAGCCGAGGUGGAGGAUCAGUUUUGGCAGCUCAUCGCCAACGUCCUUCAGAAAGCUAACAUAGUUUCCUGUGAAGCUAGGGCAAAGCUAGGAGGAGCCUCACAGCACAGGAAGCUGACAGUUGCAGGCCUCUGGCAGACUAGCUACCAUGCUGACUGGAUGUAUGGGAGGGAGGGAGGAGAAGGAGGGAGAUUGUCUAGCAGAGACCUCCUCAUGGCGCUUGCCUGGCUGCUCGCUACAGGAACACUGGAGAGACUGCUGACACAGAGAAUACAGCAAUUGGACAAAACACUCCUCACACGUAUGUCUAUGAACACUCAACUUUCCAAUGAGCUCCAGUUAGACCCAGCAUCGCUGAAGACACUUCAGUGGCUCAUUGGCAGUCUCAGGCACCAGGGGCGGACGCUGCUUUCCAUUCAAGAAGAGCGAACUGGCCUGCUCCAUUCUGUUUUAUUGAACAUUGUCUCCUCCCUGGAGUCCUCUGAUCAAAGCUCAACAGUGCUGAGGGAGGACUGUGUAUGUAUGUGUCAGCUCUGUGACCUCCUAGAAGCAUAUGUGAACUGGAGACAGGUAGAGAAAGUCUUCUGGACCUGGAUGGACAGUGUGGUGGACUGCUGUCUGACGGAUACUGUUGUCAAGAGGUCUACAAAAUCUCCUAAUGGCAGCUCAGGAGUGUGUCACCAUGGAAUCUGGGGGCUAGAGAAAUUAGACGAUAUGCUGUUGAGACUGCCCACGGGACAGAUGUUCUACACACGCAAGGUGUUCUUUUUUCACAGGGUUCAUUGCCUAGUGGUUUUGAGAAAUGCUGUUUAAAUUGAUGGUGAAUUAAAAAGCACCAACAAUACUGUACUGAAUAAAACUGAGGUAAAUCAAACAUUUAAAAAAAGUUAUUUUGUGUAUGUGUUUAGAUCAACUCAGCAGAAAGACUGGAAGCAGGUGGCUUUGUCAAGAGUUCUAAAAUCAUCUAGCAGUAAAUCUAAAUCUCACUAAUAAACAUGUUUGAUCAUGUCCCCAAUAGAUUAUUGCAGGGCUACAGCAAAUUCUUGAAAAAUAAUGGGUUAUCCAUUCUCAAAAACACAGCCAAAACACUCAUCAAUCAGAGAGAAGCUAGCAAAAACAGACUUUCCCUAUAGAAAAAAAACUAACUUCCAGAGGACUUUGCAUUGUAAAUGUUUUUAGUUGAGCAUUUACAAAAUAAACAAACAUUUUUCAUUCCUUUGAUACUAUCUCAGCCUGCUGGCUUACAUCAAUUUGUCACUGUGCUCACUUCUUUAAAUCCAAGGUUAAUAAGGUUUUUUCCAAAAAUCUUGAUCAUGCAAUUGUAGGUAAUUAUGGUCAAUCAUAUUACUAUAAUAGUGUCUUCCAGAUCUCCACUUUCUGGAUCCCAAGGCCAUAGAGGUAGAUGUUGGUAUUGAGCCAUGCUAAGAGCUUCUCCUCUGCCCCCAGUGUAUGUGCUAUAAUAGGCUAAGCAAAUCCUAGCUCUGCAUUUAACACAUGAGAUGAGACUGGUAUCAAUUCUGUCAUUUCACUCUUGCAAAGUAAGCAUCUAAACUUUCUUGUCAAAAUAAUAAAGUGUUCCUGGACCAACACUUGCACGCUAGUGUCAAUCUUGAAACGCUUGUAUGCCCAGAUUUGAUUUUCAACUCUGCAUAUGAACAGAAUAUGAAUGUCUCUCUUAUUCAUGAAUGAUUCCGUUAUUUUAUCAGCGUGUUCCGUACAGUGUCGGAACAAUACCCUACUUAAGAUUAAAGCAAUAAUGCAUUUAUUACAUUAUAUUUCCUUGAUGUUAGGUGACACUGGGUGUGCAGUUAGCUACCAUUUACGUAUGGUGCAGUCGAGUAAUAUCAUGUUAUUGCAAUCAUACCUGAAUUUUACCAUUGAAAAAAAACUUGGCAAAAAAUUGUAUGCAAAUAAGGAACUGCUUGAAUAAAUAAUGACUAAACGUGAUUACAAAUCUGAACAACAAAAAGUAUUAAAGUUUGAUGCCAAAUAAGAAAAUUGCAGUAUGAAGACAGAACCCACUUUGUAAUACACUGACUGUAGUGUUCCACAGUCUCUAAUUCAUAAUGUUUAUAUUCCUUUGUUUGAUUUUCUUGUCUGAAUCCCUUUCAUCUUCUGUCACAGAAAGGACAGAGCAGAGGCAGAGGGGAUGCUGAGAACAGAGGAGAAGGAGGAGAGAGGUUGCAGGGGGGUCCGUGCACCUCCGCCCUCCCUCCUGUUCUCUCUUCCCUUCCAUCCCUGCCCUCCAUCCCUCAGGUCUACAGAGCCAGGCUCCUAACUGAGAGGUCAGUCAAACUCAGGCACCACCCAGCAGAGAGGCUCCACGCCGGGGCUAGGGCUCCUGAUAAGCUUUCAUCGUCUGAUGCCACACAGCUGCUCCUUCAAAUAGAGGCUCUGUUGCUGAACAGGAGGGACAGGCAGAGACUCGCCAAUAGGAUGCAGCUGCAAGAGAUGGUUGGCAGGCUGGAUGAACUGGUGUUGAUUCCACCGUAGACUUUUUUUAAUUGUGGCAUCAGUAUGUAAGAAGACCACUGUGAGUGUGAUGGAAGUGUUCUGCUCUUCCAGAAUGUAACGUAUUAGUUCCGAAAUUUGCCAAGAAUGUAUUUGACCUUUGGAUGGAAACCAGAUUUUUUUUUUUGCAGUUUUACUUUAAAAAAGAAAUACGCUUUCAACAGGUUUAGUUUGAUGAUGGUAAAUAUUUCUAUUAACCUUUAUAGGUCAUUAACUAACAAAGACGACAAAGUCAGUUGAGCGCUUCAGAAACAGAAGAGACAAAAGACACCCGACAAAUCAGAAAAAAACUAUUUAAAACAAAUAACUAAUUCAUAAUAUAUGUAAACUGUCCUCACUGUUAACAGAAACAUUAAAACAAGGCUAGGUCAAAACCUAUUAUAUGGCUGGACCGUUACUGGUCAAGAGGCAAAAAUGUGGCCAAUUUAAGGUAGUCAGUGGUAGAGUUUGCUAUUAAUUUGGGGAUAUUAAAUCCUCAUAUGCAAAAAAAUACAGAAUAGUUAGUUAGUGUAGGGAAAUUUAGGAAUAAGUUAAGUUGUUAUUGCAUUCACAAGUUACAUUCAUAGAUGUCUUUUUUUUUUAUCUUUAUAUUUUACUUAUUAUUAACAUAGCUGUAGCCUCAAAACAAGCAUGCUGAGCCCUACUGAUUGUUUUCCUUAAUGUAAUUUAAAAAAUUCAAGUUUAACCUUUUCCAAUUUUGAGUUACACCUUUCAUGCUUCCCUUGUCUUAUUUCCAUUACCAUUCACAAUUUCAUCUCUACAAAUGCUUUUCAAAUUCCAUUUUAGCUUUUGCAUUUUAAAUUAUUGUGUUGUGCGACCCAUAGAUCUUGUGCAUUAACUUUAGGUUUAGGACCCAACUAACGUGGAUGGGAAUAAAGUUGUGUGGCUCUAGACUUUCCAAAUUAUAUUGGAUCGCAUUGCUCAAAUUCUGACAGUGAAAUUUGUAAUUUCUCAGGGGUUUUGAUGCUCAAAAAUUAGUAUCAACUGUUUUAUAUCCUGCUCUUUCACAAUGCAAGCUUAUGGGAAAAAGGGGCCUUGGCCAACGUGACGAUGUAAUUACACAGUUUGGCACUAUGAAAAGCUGGCUUCAAUGCCUGGUGCUCUUCCUGGGGUCUUUGGUUGGCGCCCCUGUUGCAGUCCAGCCAAUUAUGGUGUGGACAUUUUGCAAUGAAUGUAACAGAAUAAAUUCUACAUCACAAACAUUACAGCUAAUAUGAACAAGGUAAGCAAAAGCUAUUGUAGAUUUCUGAAAUGAAUAAAUCAUAUUCUCAUGUCCUCAGAGCUUGUAUGAGUAUUUGAGAAAUGUAUUAUAUGAAACUACCUUAGAAAAAAAAAAGUUUAUGAAUAUAUUUAAAAAUAUUUUAAGAUGUACUCCAACAGUUUAGAAAAAAUGACAUGUGUUGUUAGAGGGACUUACACAUGCACCACAUCCACCAUGACUUACUAUAGCUUGGGUUUCUACAGGCUGACCUCACAUUGUCCCACUGACUUCAGAAGCUGUGCUGAGUCACUGCACCGGAAGAAGUUCCAGCUCCUUAAACCAACGGCUUUAGGAGUGUUG